rnacentral:lncRNA from 1 species
CAGAAUCGAGUCGUCCAAAAUUUCCAUAAAAAAUCUUCCUCUUCCAAAAUCAGUAGGGGAACACCUUUUCCUAUUGUUUUUUAGUCUUUCCUUAGGAUUUUAACCUCGGAUUGCGCAGUGUGUCAUAUACCAAAGCUCUGCAUAUACGAGUGAAACACUGAUGAUUAAAUAGCGCACCACAUGAACCGAUGAAAUAUAAACUAUAUUCUCGUGAAAUUAUACCAAUGGACUAGUGAAACAUUACGAUUGAACACUGCAAAUAAAACUUGUAGAACAUCAAAUAAAUGCGAACUACACCAAGAAUAGCUAACGACCAUAGCAGGAAUUGGGAAUCAGUCUGCAUCCUUUGUAUCUAACCUACUCCCUCC